rnacentral:rRNA from 1 species
UUCUUUUAGCUAGAUAAUUAAAAGUAAAACCUGCUCAAUGAUUAAAUAAAUUAAAUAGCCGCAGUAUUUUAACUGCGCUAAGGUAGCAUAAUCAUUUGUCCUUUAAUUGGGGGCUUGUAUGAAAGGUUUAAUGAAAGAAAAACUUUCUUAGGAUAAAAAGUUAAAAUUAAAUUAUUAGUAAAAAUUCUAAUAUGAAAUUAUAAGACGACAAGACCCUAUUAAGCUAAAUAUUAGCAUUAAUAUUAACUUAAAAAUUAAAAGUAAAUAUUUCACUGGGGCGGUGUUGGAAUAAUAAGAAACUUUUAUUUAUUUAAAUAGAGUAGAGCCAUAAAUGAAUUAUGAUAAUAUGAUUAAGUUACUAUAGGGAUAACAGCAUAAUUUUUUUGUAGAGUUCUAAUCGAUAGAUAAGUUUGUGACCUCGAUGUUGAAUUAAAUUUCCUAUAUUAAAUGCAGAAGUUAUAUAAGGUAGUCUGUUCGACUAUUAAAUAUUUACA